AGUGAUCCUUAUGGCCGUUUGAAGGCCACUUUAUUGUUAUUAGCGAGCUCCACGCUGCCAUCUCCAACCUUGCCCUUGCUCUCUGGCAAUACAGCCAGACAAACAGGAAGCAGCUGUUGCCAAGGAACCAGCCUGAAGUACCACACUCGGGCAUACACUUGAAUGAGGACCACACAGGUGUCAGACCUCCGGGGUGAUGCUAUCAGACCUCCACUGACGUUUCAUGGGAAGGAAGAGCUAAAUGGUACGACAAAAGGAGCGGAGGUUUACAAAAGGGUUUCAAAGUGAAGGAACAAAGGCAGCUAAGCACGGUGACAGCCAUGCGGACAGCUGGGACUCGCGGCCGCAUCGCUCGGUAUCGUUCAACGUGAGACACUUGUCAAGACUCAAGGGGGCCCAUUGAUGCCAUGACGGACUGGUGGAGCGUGAAGGUAUUCAACUUGUGCUGUGCAAU